UACGAAGGGGGCUAGCGUUGCUCGGAAUCACUGGGCGUAAAGCGCACGUAGGCGGAUUGUUAAGUCAGGGGUGAAAUCCUGGAGCUCAACUCCAGAACUGCCUUUGAUACUGGGAGACUUCGAGUCCGGGAGAGGUGAGUGGAACUGCGAGUGUAGAGGUGAAAUUCGUAGAUAUUCGCAAGAACACCAGUGGCGAAGGCGGCUCACUGGCCCGAUACUGACGCUGAGGUGCGAAAGCGUGGGGAGCAAACAGG
rnacentral:rRNA from 1 species